rnacentral:lncRNA from 1 species
AAGCGCCGCUGACCCCGAACGUCGCUGCGGGUUUUGCCUUUUCCGGAAUGCCAUAUAUAAGGAAUCAUACAGUAUGCAGUCUUUCUUUCAAUUUUGCUGUGAAACUAAAACUGCUAAGAAAAUAAAGUCUUAAAAAGAAAAAUCAAUGGAGAAGGGAAAGAUAGAUGGAAUGUACAGCCAGAGGAUUGGAUGAGGUCAUCGACGGAGAGAAUGCAGAGAGAAUCCUGGGGCUCACCAACAUGAAGAAUUUGGGACAAGAAAGAAGAUCCAGCAGAGAAGACUGAAAGAAGGCAACUAAUGAAAUAGGAGAGAACCUGGAGAGCACAGAGUCUUAGAGGCCAAGAAAGUGGUUUAAUAUAAUCCGUAUCAAAGCAUUUGUGGUUUAUUUUUGUUAACUGACAAAAGGAUUCUAAAACAUACCUGAAAAGUAUAAUUCACACCUAGGAUAAUGGAUCAUUCUGUCACAUUGUUCCUUUUUCACAGCUGAUAUGAACAUGAUAUUUUCAUGACUUUGUAAAAUAAAAAUGGAAUCUUUCUAAUUUUUUUAAAAAAACUGCUUACUUAUGCAAGCCUUCUGUCUCUCACUGUAUAACCCCUCCACUUUUAUACGGGUCACACAUGUUUCUGUCACUUUCCUGGAGCCCUUGUAG